GGAGCACAUAUCAAAGAAUGGGAUUGUAUUUUCAAUUUUCAAUCAGUCAGGGUUGCCAUCACACCUUGAAUAUUUAUGAUAUGAAAAAAUGUCUUCCACCUUUGUCGUUUCAGGCGUCAACUCUUCGAAUUAUUCAUAAGCAAUUACGUAUUUGAAGAAGCAGUUCCAUGUUCCUCUUGGAGCUUUUGAGCGUACUCUAUACCUUGUUUCACGGGAUUGCACGCAACCAGUGACUACAGAUCCAACAACACUAGACGUGCCUUUGUUUUCAAGGAGUUUUGAAUUUGUGCCUUGAAAACGAACACCAUCUGCACUAUCCUAGCAUGAAAAUAUGAAAUACUUCGUACUGCAACGGUCUAAUGCACGUUGAUGGUAAUAGCAGAGUGCUUCGAAAUCAAAAACUACAUAUACCCCAUUACUCAUUGUUAGUGAGUGUCGCGAGCUCAGCCUUGCUAUAUUCCAGCAACAAGAGGAGCAGCAAGGAGAGGUUGAUCCAACCCUUCUCUCAACACUAGAUAUUUCGCCACUAAAAUCGGCGGAGUAGUCAGGGCCGCUGGCGUCAGGACUGGAGGCUCCGGGCGCUUUUGUACACGGCCCGAGAAGCCUAUACCGGGUUGCGACCCCCGGUGUCAGCCACAGGAACUCAUCUCAUCUGGGGAUGUCUGGGACCCUCUAAAUCAUGACCCCUCGAAAACAAAGGAAUGUCAAGUCUUUUGCAUCUGUAGUCAUUGACGCAACGAACAGCUGCCCGUUAAACUAUAGCAUGGAACGAGGAGAAGGCUUGGCGCGUCGAAAACGUCUGUAAGAUUGGACAACGAGUCGGUUGUAAUCUUGUUGGUUUCUCCUUUUAAUGGAUCGUUAAUUAACGCUCCAGGGUAGCCAAGUCUUCCACUUAACUCGAACGAAAAAGCACGUCCGAUCGGCGGAUGCAGAAUUGCUGGACGAGCAAGCACUUGGGCCUGUCAGUAUCAGGGCGAUGAGGAAGAAGCAGAAACCAUCAAUAACUAGCUGGGAGCCGGUGCUCGCUUAACUCCUAACGAAGGACGAUUUCUAACGAUCCCUCGGCAACGUCCAACUUCUGGACGUAAUUAAUUCCCCGGCUAACCCGGAAUGCUAUAAUUAAUUGCCGGUGGCUGAUGAGGGGCAGAGAGAAGGGUGGCUGCAACAAUAUGUACCCGGUUCGAUUAGAAGCACGGACCUCCGUGCAGUUAUGCAAUUAAUUAAAUUCAGUUUGUUAUACGCGGACGAUUGUUAAUUACCGCCUAAAGUUCGAGAAACUGAUGGUGGCUCCAUCGAAUUGAAGCCACAGUCUCGAAAUGGCGACUCUUGCGUGUCUACCUGAAUUGUCACCGUUCCGUCGAAAAACAAACCGAUAAUUAUGGCUGAAAAGUAUAAACUUGAACGAAGUUACUGUUUGUCGUUAGAAAAAUCAAAGGCUCGGCUGUUGUGUCGAGCGACGAGAAUUAUAAUUAAGGCGAAACGAAUUCCCGAUCCGUUUAACCCGCUUUAUCUCUCGCUACCCGUUUGUUUCAAAAUGUUCGACCGAGUUGCGGCUUAAUUUAUAAACCUGUUUCAAUCACGAAUCACAAUACACUGAAUCACAAAAGUAUUUGUACUCUCCUCAAUUAUCGAUUUUUCUUUAAAAGGAAUAUCAGCAAAUUUGUAUUAAUAUAUGCAUAGAAUUUAUUAAUUAACCAAACGCGAACAAAGGCUUAGUUCUGUUAUUAUUGGAAAUUGCCGAUUGUUAGGAAACGAAGGUUCAGCAAGGGUGACGUUCCUAACAAGCGUAACAGCGAUGUGUCGCGAGGGAUUUCGCGAGGCACCAAAGUGGUCCUCUAACGAUACGACCGUCUAUUUAUAAAAUUUUAUUUAGAGUGGCAUAAACUUAUGGAUAUACAUAAUACGAGAAACGGCGCGGUGUUCAGGGUAGGGGAGACGGUAGUGACCGGGGUAUCUGGCGUUCACCACUCUCGAGGAGGCAUUUAACGGACGCGCACGUGUUCGACCAUAUUGCAUUUGUGUCGUUCGAUAAAUAGGUGGGUAAGCAACUCCAACAGAAACCCGUGUUAAUUAACGUUGAGUUUCAGGACUGAUUUACGUGGCGUCUAAUUAGCGGGCCUGCCGACGACGUAGUAGGCAUUUUGAUUGGCCACUCCGCGAAUAGAGCACGGACCGAUUGGCCUUGCUUUCCUGUUCCGACAGUAUCGAUUGUUUUCGUUUCUUCUCCUGCCUCUACACAGGCCCCCAUCUCUCUCUUCCUACCACCCAACCCUAUAUCCCUUCACGAUGUUCUGCUCUUUUUGCGCUCCUACCGAACAACAAAGCGCGGCCUAGCUGCUGUAGCAGUUGUGCGUCCUCAAAGGGAUUCCGUCGCAAGAAGAGUGUCGGCUCGAAAAUAAUGUAUUACGGUCGUCUGCUCGCCCAUUAAACCGUGCACUUUUUACGCUAUUAUUAAACUUUUAUUUUCGGGCCCACCGCGCCGCACCACCCCAUUGCCAAUUGUUCUUCUUCUUUUACAUACCACCGAUCCAUCCUCGUGUCGCGUACAUUGCUGUGAUUCAUGUAACAUCGUAUAGGGGUUAUUAAACGAGACCCUUAAUUAAUCCCUGACUUUCGACAUAUUCUUUUUUACCAUAAUAAUUGCAGUGACUACAGAUACAAAAAGACUGGAGAUGUUUUUGUUCUCGAGAGGUCAUGAUUUCUGAGGGUACCAGCCACCCCCUCGGUGAGGCUAGAUUUGCGCCUAGAGAGCACAGUCCGUAUGACUGUGGUGCCUAUAAAUACAAUAACUUGUAUUUACUUCACGCGCUUUGAUAAAUAAAUCAAUUUAAAAAGGCAAAUGAGUUAUUAUUUAAUUUACCCGAUUUCCUUUCAGAGCUAUUUAGAUAAUUUACUUCACUUCUUUCGUAGAUUCUUUAUUUAUGUAACAUUCAUAGGUUUUGCAGUUGACAAACAGAAAUGAUUUACAAUUACAACAGCUUUUGUAUAGAAUAAUACGAUUAAAUGGCAAGCGUUUAUAUACGUGUUGGAUACAUUUAAAUUGUGUUAACAGUUGCGUUUAUUGUAGGCACGAGGGAUGCAAUUGGAACUAUGUUGGAUUUCAUUGUGUUUUAUUAGAAGUAUUUCAAUCAAAUCCGAUUGCAUGGAUACAAAUUGAUUGUAUACGUACGCUUGCCAAUUUUUCGUUCAGAAUUUUUGAAAAAUUCUGAACAAUUUCGAGUCACGAAAUUUUCCCUUAAUAGGAAUUGUACAAAAUUGUUUAUGAAAUAUAUGUACCGUUUAUUAAUAUACAGGAUAUA